rnacentral:lncRNA from 1 species
UUUUACUAUUGGUUCUUCAUUUGUCAGUUAAAAAAGUCCUGGGGCCAAUUGAGGAUCAGUGGUAGAGGAGGGAUUUCCGGAUCCCCCGAAGAAAGACAAACGAAAGAAAGGAGAGGGAAGGUUUUCUGCCAUUUUUUGGAGGAAGAAUUCAACAACCAUGUAAAUGUGGGUAGCUAGGGUCAACAGGGGCUAUAUGAAACAGUUUAGGGCAGGUGCAGAAACAAGACAGAAGAUACAUUGAUGACAAGCCUUACCAGACGGGAGAUAGUAACGCCCAGCAGUUGUCCCUGGAAGACAAGGAGAGCAAGGCAAAGAAAUAUUCAGUAUUUUCUUGGAGACCAACCAUCCAGCCUUACCAUCUCUUUUCCCCCAUAUCAACUCCCCUUCUUUCUCCCUUAAGAAAAGAACAAGUCUCCAAGAGACAAGUACUCAAUACAACAACACAAAUUACAAGAAGACAAGGUUCUCAAAGAAGCCACUAGAAGACAACAGAAACCUUGGAACUGGAGUCUCAAGCAGCUGAGAUGCUGGAUCUGUGGCAAAUUUGGUAGAGAGCAAGCCUAAUAUACAAGAGACCCUGUGUUCUAUUCCCAUUGGUAACAACACAACAAUGACGACAACAACAAGAAGUAUAUCAAGUGGUUCUUAACCAAAACAGACACAAGACUGAUGGUCAAUAAAGUCUACGUUGCUGACAGAAAGAAUGGCUGCUGAUACUAUUCCAUUUUAUUCCCAUUACAGAGUAUCAGCGUCCUGAUGGAAGAAAGCAAUGUGUCAGAUUAAAAAUAAG